GAAAUAUUAUGUCAUAUGAAGAAACUUCUAAUUUCAUUCAUGAGCAGUUAAAUUCUGUUCAUAUUUCU
rnacentral:tRNA from 2 species